UAAGAACAUGUUAGACCUGUUCUUAUCUGGCUUGAGGUUUGUGGUGGAAAAGGCAGUGAUCUGUAUGAAAAAGAAGCAGAUUGGUUCCGCUAAAAAAGUGAAAUCAAUCCCAAUCAAUGGGUGCAUCCAAACAAGCCGUUAGACUUGUUAGGACAUCAGAGUGUUCCUUU